AAGGGAGAGCUGAUGUUUUCUCCUCACAUGGAAAAACUGCAGUCUGCACUCUUCUGUGAUGCUGUGCCAGACACAUGGACUAAGCUAGCACCCAUCCACAUACAGCCUUGCCCACUGGGUGACUGAUCUUCUGUGGUAUGGAGAACUUAAUGUCUGGACACAGGACCUUGUACUGCCAGCAGUGGUGGGGCUUUCUGGCUUAUUCAGUCCUCAGUCCUUUCUGACAGCUGUUUAGCAGAGCAUGGCAAGAACAACUUGUCUUUGGAUAAGGUCUGCUUGACGGGAGAUGUUACCAAAAAGACCAAAGAAGAUUACGGUCACAGGGAAGAAGCCUAUAUCUGCCAGCUCUUCAUAGAAAAUUAUAGUAGUUACAGGUAUUUGGGGUAACAUACCAGAAAACGAGGAAAUAAUUGAGAAUCCUGUAUUAGCAUGAGGUGCCAGGUGGGACAUCCCACUGGAGACCGUAGCUGAAGUCCAGCUUCAGGAAUUGACUCCAGCAAUGCUAGUCAUUUUUGUAAGAACUAUUCCACUGGAUCAAAGGAAAACUAAGGAUGUUUAUGAAUGUCCAAUUUAUAAAAGCAAAAACAUUUGGACUUCUAAACUGAGAAGCAAAGAGAAGCCAGCUAAAUGGGUUCUGGCAGGUGUAGCUUUACUCUUGGCUUUUUAGGACUAAGCUUUCAAUAGUACAUGCUGCUUUCUCAAUCUGUCUUGUAGUUAAAGCAAAAGGAGAUAAACAUUUUUCACAGUCAGCUAGAGCACAUUUGCCUCACAAAAAAACAUUCCUUAGUAUGACAGUUAGGUGCUAUAUUUCCUAAUCCUUCAAGUGUGGUGUUCAUAUGCUUUUCUAUAUAAUUAUUAUUGAUCUACAAACAUUCCUUCAUUACACUGGUUAUGGGAAAGCAAAUGCAAAACAUUGUAUCAGCUGAGUGCAGUUUCACUCAUAAAAUGUUCCUCUUGAUUAUUCUUUAUUGUCUCUACAUAAAAUGAAAUAUGUAUCUUACAUAAAUUUUAGCAUAAUCAUACAAUACAAACAUAUUGCUUAAAGUUGUUUGAAAGCUUAGUUGCACAAAUGAAAAAAAGAUCUAACUAUGAACUGUAUUUCAAAA